CUCCUCUUCCCAAAUCAUCCAUUUUUGUACAUAAGCUGAAGGAAAAUCAGGGAGAAUUUACUGUAUUCAGUGCUGCUAGACAUUUCCUCCCGCGAUACGGCCAGAAUUCCAGUCGAUUACGACGAGGGUUCGACACCGCGUUACAACCGGGUCGCUUCGUAAAAAAUCUUGUUACAUACUAGCAGAUUUACAUAAUCAUCGUUUCACGUUUCGUUCCGCAAAAACGUUCGCCGCGUUCCGGCGACUCUCGCUCGUUUAUUAUUCGUUACGUCUCCCCGUGAAAAAGCGCCGGUUAGCAAACGAUACUCGUUUCAGAUGUCGCAUCUUCGGUCACGAUGCUGCGAACAGUGACGCCAUUCACUCUUCCCCUUUUAUUCACCUCGGCACACAUUCUCUUCCACCGCCUCGGAUUUACGUGCCACCGCGAAACUCGACUUUCCUACCGAUGAAUUCCAAUAUCCGCGGAUUAGCGCCCGCGAUCGAACGGAAAGAAAACAGCGUUUCUUAACAGACCAUUCACAGUUCGCAGGUGCGAUCCAGAAAUCGGCGAGACAUCGGUGGUGAAUCGACCGCGUCAAGGACUGCCCAAGAAUCGGAGAACGACGUCGGUUAUCGCGGCCGGCGCACAUGGCAGAGGAAUUCAGUCGCCGCCUAUAACGCAGAUAACUUAAUCGGGCGCGAUCCCCGAUUGCCGAUUGCUCGCUGGAAAAGUCACGUCGUUGGCCGAUUAACAGCCACUCGAGGAAGAAUUCGCAGUACAUACGACGGCGGUCGCGGCGAAUUGCUGUUCCGCGGACCGAUGUGGGACAGCAGCGGGACAGGUUUCUUCUGAUUGCAUAUUGCAUCUCGGCCGAGGGAGGCGCGAGUGAAGGGAACCGAGAGAAAUGCAAGGAAAACCUGUCCGAUGGCUGGCGAACGCCGAAAGAAAAUGAUGGCCGUCCGAGCGAAGAAUCCGCAGAAUUUAGGCGAACCGCCUUCGCGAGCUCUCGGGUCCAAGGAAAACGGCGCCAGCGGGCUCGGAUUCAUCGUUGUCCCCGGAAGAGGCGCCCUGCGUCCGACGACUCCGCGACCGGAGCCGUGAAAGCGUCGAGAGCAGGAUUGCGAUUCGAAAGCGGAAGCCUCGUGUCCGGUUCCGAAGGGAUUCUCUCUCUCUCUCUCUCUCUCUCUCUCUCUCUCUCUCUCUCUCUGCGGACUAUGGAAUCACAUGCGCCGAAUCAUGCGUCGAAGCUGGUUUCGCCUGGUUUGACUCACCGGACUCGGUCCUCGCGUCCAUUCGAUCCUGCCGAUCGCGACGACACGCGGUGAUCUAUCGUCCACGAUGAACCUCCUCGAAGUGGCCUCCCGAUCGGCGUCAAUCAAACGACCAUCGCGUGCUUUUUCUUAAUCCGUUCAAUAAAAGAGAACCGGCUGGAAGCGGAGGAGGAGGGGGUGGAAGAACCGUUCGCAGGGAUAAAGCUCUCUGACCAAGAACCAAGAUCGACUGAGCCACGAAAUUGGCCACGAACCAUCGCGUCGCGUCACGUCGCAUCGCCCGGUGUCGUUGUCCGAUCCCGAAGAAAUGUCGCGAGACUGUUCUGUACGGGGGCGCGUUGCCAACACUCUUUUGUAUUUACACGUGUACCGUGGACACAGCUGCGAGAAUCGCCGGCUCUCAACGAGCUUGCGCCCGUUCGUCAGGAUCGUCAGUGAUCUAGGAAUUCGCUUUCUGUGACCGAAAUCGUUUUAACGUUGUCUCAAGGUUCGAGAUUAUAGCACGGUAGAUCGCUGAAUUCGUGACGACGCCGGAUGUGUCGGCACGAAGCAUUACGGACGCUCAGAUUGUCCACUAAAAUGGAUAAU